rnacentral:rRNA from 1 species
UACGGGGGGGGCAAGCGUUGUUCGGAAUUACUGGGCGUAAAGGGUUCGUAGGUGGCCUGCUAAGUCAGACGUGAAAUCCCUCAGCUUAACUGGGGAACUGCGUCUGAUACUGGAAGGCUUGAGUGCAGGAGAGGAACGCGGAAUUCCAGGUGUAGCGGUGAAAUGCGUAGAUAUCAGGAGGAACACCGGUGGCGAAGGCGGGUCUCUGGGCCGAUACUGACGCUGAGGAGCGAAAGCGUGGGGAGCGAACAGG